UACCGCGGUUAAACGAGAGGCCCCAGUUGAUGGUAUCACGGCGUAAAGGGUGGUUAAGGGCUGCAACCAAUAAAGCCAAAUAGCCCUCCGGCCGUCAUACGCUUCCAGGCGCUAGAGACCCAAUUACACGAAGGUAGCUUUAAUUAUAUACACCUGACUCCACGAAAGCUGAGGAA
rnacentral:rRNA from 1 species